rnacentral:rRNA from 1 species
GAACUCGGCAAAAUACCUCCGUAAGUUCGCGAGAAGGAGGCCCGGUUUCUAGGCAACUGGAAGCUGGGGGCACAAACCAGGGGGUGGCGACUGUUUACUAAAAACACAGGGCUCUGCGAAGUCGCAAGACGACGUAUAGGGUCUGACGCCUGCCCGGUGCCUGAAGGUUAAAAGGAGGGGUGAGAGCUCCGAAUUGAAGCCCAGGUAAACGGCGGCCGUAACUAUAACGGUCCUAAGGUAGCGAAAUUCCUUGUCGGGUAAGUUCCGACCUGCACGAAUGGCGUAACGACUUCCCCGCUGUCUCCAACAUAGACUCAGUGAAAUUGAAUUGCCUGUCAAGAUGCAGGCUUCCCGCGGUUAGACGGAAAGACCCCGUGCACCUUUACUACAACUUUACACUGAUAACAGGCACAACAUGUGCAGAAUAGGUGGUAGGCUUUGAAGCAGAAACGCCAGUUUUUGUGGAGCCUCCUUUGAGAUACCACCCUUGUUUUGCUUGUUAUCUAACUGCGGUCCGUUAUCCGGAUCCAGGACCCUGUAUGGUGGGUAGUUUGACUGGGGCGGUAAGGGC